CCAGUGUUCACUACGCUAACCCCAGAAGAGCACCCUGGCUGAGGAGAAGGAAGACCACACCCUGGGGACCUCCACCACCUCCACCUCCACUCCCUCCCAUGGGGAGACAGGUCCCAGUAGUGGUCAGAGGUACGUGGUGGUGUGGGUGCUGCUUCCUGUCCUGGCUCUGCUGCUCGUGGUAGGGUACCUCUACCGACGGUACAUCAUCCAGAAGAGGAUGGACCUCCCUCCCCCUUUCAAGCCUCCUCC